rnacentral:rRNA from 1 species
GACGAACGCUGGCGGCGUGCCUAAUACAUGCAAGUCGAGCGAGUCUGCCUUGAUUAUCGGUGUGCUUGCACUCUGUGGAACAAGAUACAGGCUGGAGGCUGACGGGUGGGUAACACGUAGGUAACCUGCCGAAGAGAUCGACAUCACACCUGGAAACGGAUGCUAAUACCGGAUAACAACAGUUGAGCCCUAACAACUGCUUAAAACGUGGUUCUGCUAUCACGCUGGGAUGGACCUGCGGGGCAUUAGCUAGUUGGUAGGGUAACGGCCUACCAAGGCGAUGAUGCGUAGCUGGUCUGAGAGGAUGAUCAGUCACACUGGAACUGAGACACGGUCCAGACUCCUACGGGAGGCAGCAGUAGGGAAUCUUCCACAAUGGGCGCAAGCCUGAUCGAGCCACGCCGCGUGAGUGAAGAAGGUUUUCGGAUUGUAAAGCUCUGUUGUUGGGGAAGAAGGACAGUAGUAGUAAAUGUUCCUGGUUUGACGUUAAUAAAAGAGAAAGCCCCGGCUAACUACGUG